AUUGAACGCUGGCGGCAGGCCUAACACAUGCAAGUCGAGCGCGCGGCGGACGGGUGAGUAAUGUCUGGGAAACUGCCUGAUGGAGGGGGGUUACUACUGGAAACGGUAGCUAAUACCGCAUACCAUCAGAUGUGCCCAGAUUGGAUUAGCUAGUAGGGGGGGUAACGGCUCACCUAGGCGACGAUCCCUAGCUGGUCUGAGCGGAUGACCAGCCACACUGGAACUGAGAAACGGUCCAGACUCCUACGGGAGGCAGCAGUGUGGAAUAUUGCCCAAUGGGCGCAAGCCUGAUGCAGCAAUGCCGCGUGUGUGAGGAAGGCCUUCGGGUUGUAAAGCACUUUCAGCAGGGAGGCGUUACCCGCUGAAGAAGCACCGGCUAACUCCGUGCCAGCAGCCGCGGUAAUUC
rnacentral:rRNA from 1 species